CAGAUAGGAAAAGGGGUUCAACCCAUCAUGAAUGUGCAUAAAAUAAAGUGGGUUUUAGCAUAACAUAUUAUAAAAGAUGAUUCCCAGCCUAGGUACCAUGGGACACUCCAGGAAGACAACCACCUACUAAUACCCAGAUCAUUCCAUUUUAUGGGCUUUCUUUCCUUGGGACACCAGAAUUUUCAGGCAACUAAAACAUUUCAGCGAUUGCUCCAGAACAGUACAGAUGUCCUGGCAAAGUCCCUGGAGCCAGCACUUUGAUGCUUUUCUCCAGAGAGACUAUUAUUUUGAACGUUGGAACAGCUAACGCGAGG